ACGGUCUGGUGUUUAACACUGAAUGUUCAGCAAAGUAACUUGCGUAAAACCCGAACAGAGAGAGGGUUUCACGCGUUAAUAAAGUGGCUAACAAUAGCUGAAGAUUGAGUGUUAAACAUCAGAUAGUGGCGAACGGGUGAGUAACGCGUAGACAACCUACCUCCUAGAUGGGGACAACACUGCGAAAGUGGUGCUAAUACCGAAUGUCGUACUUUGGUUGCAUAACCAAGGUACUAAAGAUGGCCUCUAUUUAUAAGCUAUCGCUAGAAGAUGGGUCUGCGUCUGAUUAGCUAGUUGGUGGGGUAAUGGCUCACCAAGGCGACGAUCAGUAGCCGGUCUGAGAGGAUGAACGGCCACACUGGGACUGAGACACGGCCCAGACUCCUACGGGAGGCAGCAGUGGGGAAUCUUCCGCAAUGGACGAAAGUCUGACGGAGCAACGCCGCGUGAGUGAAGAAGGUUUUCGGAUCGUAAAACUCUGUUUUCAGGGACGAAUGUGCAGCUUGUAAAUAAUGAGUUGUAAUGACGGUACCUGAGUAGAAAGCCACGGCUAACUACGUGCCAGCAGCCGCGGUAAU
rnacentral:rRNA from 1 species